GACGAACGCUGGCGGCGUGCUUAACACAUGCAAGUCGAACGGAAAGGCCCUGCUUUUGUGGGGUGCUCGAGUGGCGAACGGGUGAGUAACACGUGAGUAACCUGCCCUUGACUUUGGGAUAACUUCAGGAAACUGGGGCUAAUACCGUAUAGGAUCUCCUGCUGCAUGGUGGGGGUUGGAAAGUUUCGGCGGUUGGGGAUGGACUCGCGGCUUAUCAGCUUGUUGGUGGGGUAGUGGCUUACCAAGGCUUUGACGGGUAGCCGGCCUGUGAGGGUGACCGGCCACAUUGGGACUAAGAUACGGAGCAGACUCCUACGGGAGGCAGCAGUGGGGAAUAUUGCACAAUGGGCGGAAGCCUGAUGCAGAAACGCCGCGUGCGGGAUGACGGCCUGCGGGUUGUAAACCGCUUUCGCCUGUGACGAAGCGUGAGUGACGGUAAUGGGUAAAGAAGCACCGGCUAACUACGUG
rnacentral:rRNA from 1 species